UACGUAGGUGGCAAGCGUUGUCCGGAUUUACUGGGCGUAAAGAGUGCGCAGGCGGUCGUUCAAGUCGCGUGUGAAAGCCCCCGGCUCAACUGGGGAGGGUCACGCGAUACUGAUCGACUCGAAGGCAGGAGAGGGUAGUGGAAUUCCCGGUGUAGUGGUGAAAUGCGUAGAUAUCGGGAGGAACACCAGUGGCGAAGGCGGCGAUCUGGGAAGAUACUGACGCUGAGGUGCGAAAGCGUGGGGAGCAAACAGG
rnacentral:rRNA from 1 species